GCUGUGUUAGAAUACUGUUGAAAAAAAAUAGAAUUUCUGCACUAAAACAACCUUCUAUACCGAUGAUUAACAUUGAGUAAUCCAAAUAAACCGUAGCGAAUAAAGCCACAAUGGGUGUACUAUUUUUGGUUAUUUUGCCUGACUAAAUUUUGAUAUUUAAAAAAAAAGGUACGGAUAAAGCUACACAUAAACAUAUUCAGCUUCUUACAUAUGUGUACAAAGAAAAUGGGCAUGAUACCACAUAUAAAAUUUGUAGGAAAUGAUAAAGACUCGUAAAUUUUAAAUUAUCCCACUAUUUCUAAAACGAAGGAGCGAGAUCGGGUGCGUCGA
rnacentral:lncRNA from 1 species